rnacentral:rRNA from 1 species
GAUGAACGCUGGCGGCGUGCCUAAUACAUGCAAGUCGAGCGAAUGGAUUAAGAGCUUGCUCUUAUGAAGUUAGCGGCGGACGGGUGAGUAACACGUGGGUAACCUGCCCAUAAGACUGGGAUAACUCCGGGAAACCGGGGCUAAUACCGGAUAAUAUUUUGAACUGCAUGGUUCAAAAUUGAAAGGCGGCUUCGGCUGUCACUUAUGGAUGGACCCGCGUCGCAUUAGCUAGUUGGUGAGGUAACGGCUCACCAAGGCAACGAUGCGUAGCCGACCUGAGAGGGUGAUCGGCCACACUGGGACUGAGACACGGCCCAGACUCCUACGGGAGGCAGCAGUAGGGAAUCUUCCGCAAUGGACGAAAGUCUGACGGAGCAACGCCACGUGAGUGAUGAAGGCUUUCGGGUCGUAAAACUCUGUUGUUAGGGAAGAACAAGUGCUAGUUGAAUAGGCUGGCACCUUGACGGUACCUAACCAGAAAGCCACGGCUAACUACGUGCCAGCCGCCGCCGUAA